GACGAACGCUGGCGGCGUGCUUAACACAUGCAAGUCGAACGGAAAGGCCCCUUUGGGGGUACUCGAGUGGCGAACGGGUGAGUAACACGUGAGUAACCUGCCCUUGACUUCGGGAUAACUUCAGGAGACUGGGGCUAAUACCGGAUAGGAAUCCUUGCUGCAUGGUGGGGGUUGGAAAGCUUCGGCGGUUUUGGAUGGACUCGCGGCUUAUCAGCUUGUUGGUGGGGUAGUGGCUUACCAAGGCUUUGACGGGUAGCCGGCCUGAGAGGGCGACCGGCCACAUUGGGACUGAGAUACGGCCCAGACUCCUACGGGAGGCAGCAGUGGGGAAUAUUGCACAAUGGGCGGAAGCCUGAUGCAGCAACGCCGCGUGCGGGAUGACGGCCUUCGGGUUGUAAACCGCUUUCAGCAGGGGCGAAGCUUUUGUGACGGUACCUGCAGAAGAAGCACCGGCUAACUACGUG
rnacentral:rRNA from 1 species